UUUUUGCUUUUGUUUCCCUUGCCGCGGGAGACAUAUCUAGAAAGAAGUUGCUACAGCCCAUGUCAAAGAGGUUACUGCCUGUGUUCUCCAGAAUUUUGAUGGUUUCCUAUCUCACAUUUAUGUUUUCCACCAAUUUUGAUUUAUUUUUGUCUGUAGUGUAAGAGAGUGGUCCAGUUUCAUUCUUUUGCAUGUUGCUGUCCAGUUUUCCCAGCAUCAUUUGUUGAAGAGAGUGUCUUUUUUCCACUGGCUAUUCUUUCCUGCCUUGUUGAAGAUGGGGUGACCAUAAAGUUGUGGGUCCAUUUCUGGGUUCUCUGUUCUGUUCCAUUGAUCUCUGUGUCUGUUUUUGUGCCAGGACCACACUGUCUUGAUGAUCACAGCUCUGUAGUACAGCUUAAAGCCAGGCAUUGUGAUGCCCCCAGGUUUGCUUUUGUUUUUCAAGAUUGCUUUGGCUCUUCGGGUCUUUGGUUCCAUACAAAUUUAGGAUUGUUUGUUCUAGCUCUGUGAAACAUGCUGGUGGUACUUUGGUAGGGAUUGCACUGAAUGUGUAGAUUGUUUUGGGUCAUAUAGACAUUCUAACAGUAUUUGUUCUUCCAAUCCACGAGCACGGAAUGUUUCUCCAAUUCUUUGUGUCAUCCUCAGUGUUUUUCAUCAGUGUUUCAUAGUUUUCAGAGUACAGAUCUUUUACCUCUUUGUGAGGUUUACUCCUAGGUACCCUAUGAGUUUUGGUGUGAUUGUAAAUGGGAUCUAUUCCUUGGUUUCUCUUUCUGCUACUUCAUUAUUGGUGUAUAGAAAUGCCACAGAGUUCUAUACAUUGAUUUUGUACCCUCUGGCUUUACUAAAUUCCUGUUAUCAGUUCUAGAAAAUUUUUUUGGUGGAGUCUUCCAGGUUUUCUACAUGGAGUAUCAUGUCGUCUGCAAAUAGUGAUAGUUUGACUUCUUCCUUGCUGAUUUGGAUGCUUUUUCUUUCUUUUACUUUUUGAUUGCUGUAGCUAGGGCUUCCAGUACUAUGUUAAAUAACAGUGUUGAGAGUGGACGUCCCUGUCUUGUUUCUGACCUUAAAAAAAAAAAAGCUCUCAGGUUUUCCCCAUUCAGGAUGACAUUAGCUAUGGGUCUCUUCUAUAUAGCCCUUAUUAUAUUGAGGUAUGUUCCCUCCAAACCAUUGUUGAGGUUUUUUUUUUUUAUCAAAAAUGGAUGCUAUACUUUGUCAAAUGCUUUUUCUGCAUCUAUUGAGAGGAUCAUACGGUUCUUGUCCUCUCUUAUUAAUGUGAUGUAUGUUGAUUGAUGUGCAAAUAUUGAACCACCCUUGCAGCCCAGGAAUAAAUCCCACGCGAUUGUGGUGAAUAUUUCUUUUAAUGCACCAUUGGGUUUUAUUUCCUGGUAUUUUGUUGAGAAUUUCUGCAUCUUGUUCAUCAGGGAUAUUACCCUGUAGUUCUCCUUUUUGGUGGAGUCUUUGUCCAGUUUUGGGAUCAAGGUAAUGCUGGCCUCAUAGUAUGACUUUGGAAGUUUUCCUUCCUUUUCUAUAUUUUGGAAUAGUUUGAGAAGAGUAGGUAUAAACCCUUCUUAAAAGUUUGGUGGAAUUCUCCUGGGAAGCCAUCCACCCUGGACUUUUGUUUGUUGGGAGAUUUUUGAUUACUGCUUCCAUUUCUUUGUUGGUUAUGGGUCUGCUCAAAUUUUCUAUUUCCUUCCUAUUCAGCUUUAGUAGUUUCUAUGUUUUUAGGAAUUUAUCCAUUUCUUCCAGAUUGCCCAAUUUGUAUAUAAUUUUUAAUAAUAUCCUCUUAUCAUACUGUUUGUAUUUCUAUGGUGUUGGUUGUGAUCUCUCCUCUUUCAUUAAUUAUUUUAUUUGGGUACUUUCUCUUUUCUUUUUAAUGAGCCUGGCUAGGGGCUUACCAAUUAUAUUAAUUUUUUCAAAGAAGCCGCUCCUGAUUUCAUUGAUCUAUUCUAUUGGGUAUUUGUUUGUUUGUCUCUGUAUCAUUUAUUUUUGCUCUAAUUUUUAUUAUUUCCCUUCUGCUGGCUUUAGGCUUCAUUUGUUGUUCUUUUUCUAGGUCCUUUAGGUGUAAGGUUCGUGUAUUGAGAUUUUUCUUGUUGGUUAUUUCUUUCAAUAUUAAGGGAUUUACUAAACUGAAAUCAGAAAAAUUGACUACCAGGGUAAUACACAAGUAGUUUUGUAAGAAAUUAAACUCCAUGAACAGAGAGAUAUGUGAUUUUCUAAGUUAGUUUAAAAGCACCAAAUGAUGGGAUCCCUGGGUGGUGCAGUGGUUUGGCACCUGCCUUUGGCCUAGGGCACAAUCCUGGAGACCCAGGAUCGAAUCCUACGUUGGGCUCCCGGUGCACAGAGCCUGCUUCUCCUUCUGCCUAUGUCUCUGUCUCUCUCUCUCUCUGUCUCUCUCUCUCUCUCUGUGACUAUCAUAAAUAAAUAAAAAUUAAAAAUAAAUAAAAGCACCAAAUGAGGGACACUUGGGUGGCUCAGGGGUUGAGCGUCUGCCUUCGGCUCAGGUUGUGAUCACAGGGUCCGAGGAUCGAGUCCCGCA
rnacentral:lncRNA from 1 species